GACGAACGCUGGCGGCGUGCUUAACACAUGCAAGUCGAACGGAAAGUGCCCAGCUUGCUGGGUGACUCGAGUGGCGAACGGGUGAGUAACACGUGGGUGAUCUGCCCUGCACUUUGGGAUAAGCCUGGGAAACUGGGUCUAAUACCGAAUACAUCCUGCUGGUCGCAUGGCCUGGUGGGGGAAAGCUUUUGCGGUGUGGGAGGGGCCCGCGGCCUAUCAGCUUGUUGGUGGGGUGAUGGCCUACCAAGGCGACGACGGGUAGCCGGCCUGAGAGGGUGUCCGGCCACACUGGGACUGAGAUACGGCCCAGACUCCUACGGGAGGCAGCAGUGGGGAAUAUUGCACAAUGGGCGCAAGCCUGAUGCAGCGACGCCGCGUGAGGGAUGACGGCCUUCGGGUUGUAAACCUCUUUCAAUAGGGACGAAGCGUGAGUGACGGUACCUAUAGAAGAAGCACCGGCCAACUACGUGCCAGCCGCCGCGGUAACAC
rnacentral:rRNA from 1 species